UGUUUUGCAGCUAAAGGAAUUUCUAAUUUGCUUUAAAACUUGUUAUAGGUAUGAAGAGAAGUUUAGUUGUAUGGAGAAAAUGCUUCUCACUUUGAAGAUCUCAUUUGAAAGGCUGAUAAAGAAAUGCCCUGAAAUUAAAGGUAUUCUCAGGUUCAGAGAACAAAGGGGGGAAGCACACAGACCCGAGAAAGAAAGCUCCUCUUGCGUGUGAGAAAGUAAAGGACACUUUGACUCACUUGAGAUCCCUCAAAAUGCUAAAAAAAGAAAGGGAAGAAAAAAGUACAAGAAAAGACACUCAUGGAACUGCUGAGGAUUGUUUCAAGUGAAGGAAAAACAGGCUGGUCUAGGAGGAUGAGGUAUUCCCUGCCACUCUUGAAGCGGAAAAGUUCCUGCCUUUCGCUUUGGCUGUGCUGUGUGCUGGGUGCUGCUGGUAUCAAGUACCAUGAGUAAAGUGGAGAUCAGUCUCUCAGCUACUUGCAGUUUAAAUGCAGGAUGGAGAGAGAGAGAAUUGUAUCUUUUGAAAUACCUUAGCUGCUUCAUGGGCAGGCU
rnacentral:lncRNA from 14 species